ensembl:misc_RNA Metazoa_SRP Metazoan signal recognition particle RNA
GCCAGGUGUGGUGGUGUGUGCCAGUAGUCCCAGCUACUUGGGAGGCUGAGGUAGGAGGAUCACUUGAGUCCAGGAGUUCUGGGCUGCAGUGCGCUAUGCCGAUUGGGUGUCCGCAUUAAGUUCAGCAUCAAUAUGGGGACCUCCUGGGAUCAGGGGACCACCACGUUGCCUAAGGAGAGGUGAACUGGCCCAGGUCGGAAACGGAGCAAGUCAAAACUCCUAUGCUGAUCAGCAGAAUACAUUUAUCGGUCACUGCCCCUUCAUUCUGCAUGUUGUACUGGAAGCAACUUCAU